rnacentral:rRNA from 1 species
GGUAGUCCACGCCGUAAACGAUGUCGACUUGGAGGUUGUGCCCUUGAGGCGUGGCUUCCGGAGCUAACGCGUUAAGUCGACCGCCUGGGGAGUACGGCCGCAAGGUUAAAACUCAAAUGAAUUGACGGGGGCCCGCACAAGCGGUGGAGCAUGUGGUUUAAUUCGAUGCAACGCGAAGAACCUUACCUACUCUUGACAUCCAGAGAACUUAGCAGAGAUGCUUUGGUGCCUUCGGGAACUCUGAGACAGGUGCUGCAUGGCUGUCGUCAGCUCGUGUUGUGAAAUGUUGGGUUAAGUCCCGCAACGAGCGCAACCCUUAUCCUUUGUUGCCAGCGGUUAGGCCGGGAACUCAAAGGAGACUGCCAGUGAUAAACUGGAGGAAGGUGGGGAUGACGUCAAGUCAUCAUGGCCCUUACGAGUAGGGCUACACACGUGCUACAAUGGCGCAUACAAAGAGAAGCGACCUCGCGAGAGCAAGCGGACCUCAUAAAGUGCGUCGUAGUCCGGAUUGGAGUCUGCAACUCGACUCCAUGAAGUCGGAAUCGCUAGUAAUCGUAGAUCAGAAUGCUACGGUGAAUACGUUCCCGGGCCUUGUACACACCGCCCGUCACACCAUGGGAGUGGGUUGCAAAAGAAGUAGCUAGUCUAACCUUCGGGAGGACGGUUACCACGGUGUGAUUCAUGACUGGGGUGAAGUCGUAACAAGGUAGCCGUAGGGGAACCUGC